rnacentral:rRNA from 1 species
CGUUCCCAUCCCGAACACGGUAGUUAAGCUUCUCUGCGCCAAUGGUAGUUGGGGGCUUCCCCCUGCGAGAGUAGGUCACUGCCGGGC